CUGCAGCAGCCCAGGCCGGGCGCGGGGAAUGAGCCGCUGGGGUCUGAAGGGAGCAGUCAAUAUCAAGAGGCUGGCCCCCCUAGCAGGUGCCUGGAGGCCCGCUUAGUGCAGGGAGAACGCCCCCAGGGGAGGCUGGUGCCAGGAGAGAACAAAUGGAAGAUGGAAUUAGGAGCCAGACUCUGAGGCAAGGUGAUGUGGAGACACAGAAAGGGGCGAUCUGGUGGGGGGAAGAAAUUGGAGUUUGAGAGUGGGAGAGGUUGCAGUGACACAAGAUCUCACGGGAUAGGCACUGUGUAGUGUAUGAGUAUGGGGAGGUACUCUGGGGUCUGGGGAGGAGCACUGGGGUCAAGAAGAGACUGGGUAAGAAAGCAGAUGGGUGGAUGGGAAAGGGGAAGAGGGAAAAUUUGGGAUCAAGCCAUCCCAGACCAGAACUAUAUUCCUCUUCUUGUUCUGAGUCCUCUCUCCAGCCUCCUUUCUGUAACCUGGGUUGCUGCUGCUCCCUUUCCUCAUGGUUUCCCUUUUGUGGUUGCAGCAGAGCUCACACUAGCCAGUGUUCUGGGAGAUGGAAAGAUUGCCCUGGGCCACCCCCAUCUUUGUCGUUUCCCAUUUUUCACAUUUUGCCCUUUCUCAGUAGCUGGAAUCUAGCUCCCAGGUCAGUGCCAGCUGUCGCUGGGGGUGCAGGGGAGCAGCUGGCUAUGCAAAGUCGCUUCCAGGCUGUGGACUCAGGGCUGAGAAAUAGGACACCUGCCAGUGCCCAUUCCAGCUUUGACCUGGCUGGGGCAGCCUUGGGUCAAGGCCUCUCUGUAGUCCUGGUUUCCACCAACAUCAGGAUGGGGAGCUGCAAGAGCCGUCUAGGCAGGCACCCCAGGACUGUGCCAGGAAGACCUGAUUUUAAGCCCUGAGUCUAUCAGUCGCAAGACAAGGGACCUCAGUGAAGGGAGGGGAGGCACUGCGAGAAUGCAGCACCUGAGCGGGUCUCGCCUCAGCUCUUCACCUUUAAGGAAAAUAAAGAACAUUGAGGAAGUAAUGAAGGGAAUCUCUACUCUGAACUUAAGUCUGACCUAAAGAAAUAGAAGGUUUGCUCCUGGCCUUUGGGAUUCAGCAGUCCCCUCCCUCUCCUCCCCGGGAUGUCAGGUAACACGCUGGGAGUUCUGUCAACAAGUUAUUAAACGUCUCAGGAUUCUGCUAAGAGCUGGCGGAUAAUCUAGUUGGGGGUUCAAGAAUGCAAGUGAAAACAUUAAAAGAAAGUUUCUGCCCACUAAGCAGUCUAAGGCGAGAGGUCAUCUGCCUCGUGUCCUGACACCAUCUCAAGACUGGCAUACAUCACUAACUAGGUUGGCUUCCACGCCCAGCAGUGCCCAUGUGGUUGGCGCCAUCGGAAUUUCAAGCAUUCCCCCGCCCCUCUCUGCACACGGGAGAACCUUGAAUCGCUGACAGGCCUAAAGCUAGAGAGCAAGAGGGUCCCCCGACACAGGGCAAGCGCACAGGGCGUCGGCCGCCUCCUCAGAGCAGACCCAGGCAGCGUCCCUGAGCGGGGCAGCGCUCACGCGGGUCGGCCACCGGGCGGAGGGGGUGCCAGGCUCGCCCCGGGUGCCCGCACCUCUCGCCAGCCCCCGGAAGAGCCGCCCUCCCGCCCAGCGGGCUCCGAGGGGGCGGGGAGUCGAACGCCCCCUUCCGGGUGCCUCCGCCCGGCUGGCCAGCCCCGCUCCUCCUCCGGGCGGGAAUCCUCCCUCCCCGCCCCUCCCGGAGCCGGCCCCGGCACCAGGCCCGGCCCCAGGGGGGAACCCCCAGCCCCGGCUCCCCCUCCCUGCGGCCUCUGCCCGUCUUCCCGACCCUUGAGAGCCGGGAAGACCCCGCCGGCAGCGGCCAGGACCCACCGCUCAUUACGACAUCUUCCUCCCUGGCCUCCGCCGCCUCCGCCGCCACCGAGAGCCUGACACCGCCCGCCUAGCACCCGCCAAUCCCGGAGCCCGCCACCGCCCGAGCGACGGCAGCGUUCACCAAUAAGAGCUUGGUACAUUGGGGACCGACAGCACUACCAACCAAUCAAAGAGAGGCAUCUAGAGCGACGUUGGUUUGGCCAAUAGACCUGCGAAAUGUCACUGAUGGACGGUAGAGGGCACCAACCGAAAGCCUACUGAAGAGUGAACGACAUGUUCGCCAGCCAACUGGCGGGAGGCAAAGUCCCGCCUACGAGGUGGUUGAUAGACAGUAACAGGAAGCUAGGUGGGGAGGGGCUUAGCUGAGGAAUGGUUUUGUAUUGGUUGUGGUUGACCUUCCACCCACCUCUAACCCAGGAGAUGAGUGAUAGAUCUGCCCUAAAGCCAAUCAGAAGUCCUCAGGGUGAGGCCGAAAAAUGACCCAUAAAUAGCAUCUACUUUGCGUCUCCAACCCGUGCUGCUCUGGUGUGGCGAAAGCCUGCGGCUUUUCGACCACUCAACCCCGUGCCUGGUGAGUGGAAAGUCACGGGUCUUUUAUUUACCCUCUCGGCCUUCAUCGCUUCUGGAGAGGGAAGUGAGCCUCCAGGAGACUUUGUACAGCGAGGCAUUGGCGUCACACACAAUAGCGGGAGUUGGAGCUACGUGACACCUCUGAGAGAGAAGAGUAUUUUCGCCGUCUCACUUCAAACUCCUCUUAAUCCUCACCUGGUUAUUGCAUCAGCCCGCUAACGUGCGCAUCAGAAUCACCUGAAGCUCUCUAAAAGUAGAUUCCCAGGGCUGCCUCUCCUGCCUGGGGCACUCCUGGAAAAAGCAUUCUAACCAGCGCCUCCGGUGGACAGAAUUGGCCUCAGCCCCACUUGCCUCUUUGAAUGAGGUGCUGUGAGUAGAGCGCUUGGCCAAGGCACUACCCGGGUAGCUUUAUCUUCGCUAUGGAUGUGUAACUUUGGAAGGCUUUAGUGAGGAGGAAUCCACUCUGAUUUCAGACCAGCCUGGGUUCGAAACUCGCACAGCCUACUUACAGAGAGGCAGGGUACUGAAACUCCGUGCGCCUCUGUCCUCAUCUGUAAAAUGAGGCUAAUCACACCCACACCAUAGAGCAGUGACUCUCCUUUUUUUAAAAUCAUAACCCCACAGUGAGAAAUACAUUUGCAUCCUGACCCGGUAUACUUAUACUCCUGUGAAUGUAUGGUAAAAAUUUCCAAAAACAAUACUUACCCUUCCUACCUGCGACGCACUGAUGUUUUCUAUCCUGUCCUAUCUUAUUCUUUCUUCCCUCCCUCCCUCCUUCCUCCUUUCCUUCCUUCCUCUAGUGAUUUACAAUAUUGUCUUAGUUUCAGGGGUACAGCACAGUGAUUCAGAUAUAGAUAUAGAGUCCUUUUCAGAUUCUUUUUCCCUAUAGGUUAUUACAAAAUAUUGAGCAUAGUUUCCUGUGCUAUAACAAUAGGUCCUUGUUGGUUAUCUAUUUUAUAUAGAGCAGUGUGUCUAUAUUAAUCCCAAUGUCUAGUUUAUCCACUUCCUUUUCUUGAUCAUGACUGGCAGUUUGAAGGGAUCAUGACUCGCAUAAAGGGUUGGUGUGAUAAAAUGCAGAGCAGAAUGCCCGGCAUAUUGUGAUUGUUGAAUAAAUGUUAAUAGUCUCUUCCAGUCUACCCCUCUCAGAUUUAGCCUUUGAAAAAACAAGACUUCAAAAGAUAUCACUCCUUUAAUUAAGAUCCUUCAUUGGCUCCCUGCACCCUUUUGGAUUAAAAAGUCCAUACUCCUUUCUAGGCAAACAAUGUCCUUCACACUCUAGUGUACCUUUCACACUUUGUCUCCCUCUGCCACCCUGUUCUCUUUCCACAA